CUUUGGGGAUGUGCAGAGGAAGCAGAUGGAGAAGAAACUUGUGGUCACAGCAUGUAAUGACAGCACGAGAGGAAACCAACUCCAAUGAAUGGAGAAAAAAUGGUGGAAUGACCUUCUAAAGGCCGCAGAAGGAGUUGAAACUGAGAUGAGAUCAAGGAGCUCCUGACUACCCUGCCCCCAGGGAAAACAUCAGAUUGUUCUGCAUCUCUCUUCUGCAACUAUUGCACUGACAAAGGCCUUUUGCCACACUCACAUAAGCGUGUCUACAAGAUGGAUUUUUAUGACUGCAGUGGAAUUUGGGAGAUGGCCGGGACACUUUGGUUUCCAGCAAUCCCAUAUCAUACUUCCCUCAUGUGCUUCUCUCUCUCCUGCCUCUAUGCAUUUUUCAAUAAACCGGCAAAAUUACCCAUGAGCAAGGCUGUAAGGGACAGCACAGAGCCAGUGAAAUCAUACGCCUCCUGUGCUUGUAUAGUUAGCAGCAAGUGUAUAUAACACAGCCCUGCCCUUCCUCUUCUAAUGAAAGUGGCUCGCCACCAGGAAAAGCAGUAACACCCUUGUUUUACACCACCUCCACAAAGUUAUGAGAAGGUGUACAAUUUUGUAUGGUUUUUCUAAGAAAUGGAAGAUCUUCCAAGCAAGGCUCAAGAAAGAGAAUCACCCUAUAAGUCAGUGUUGGAAACGCAGACUGGAAAAUCAAGUGCCGACUUUGCAUUGUCGCAGAUAAUAGAUGGUGAAUGGUGGGCUCAAGUUUAGUGACAUGCACUUCGGCUGUGCAGAGUUACUCGUGUUAGACUACUGUAACAUGAAAAGGAUCGUUCACGUGGCACAGCAAGAUGGUACAGUUAGAUGCAUGCACCACACAGCCAUUUAUUUGGCUUCUGUCCGUUCCUCGCUGGGAAUUAAACUGAGAAGAAAUUCUCUUCCAAGGUUUGAAAAGCAUCUGCAAAAGUUAGAAACUCCUAGGGAAAAAAAACAACAAAAAAAAGAAAAACACAAACACAAAACAGCUUAUUUGUUCAUCCAUCAUAUUUUCCAG
rnacentral:lncRNA from 1 species